UAGUUUAGCUGCAUUGAGUAUUUUUCUUACUUUUGAAUUGUAGACUUCAAUUUGAUCUCAUAAAUUAUUUAUAAUAUAUUUCCAGUGGAAAAUGGAUAAGUAACAUAAAAAUGUAAAAUCUCUGAAUAAAAUUGUAUAAAAUAAUAUUGAGGGGAAAUUGUCGAAUUUUUGAGUAAAGAAAAAAUUGAGGAACAUUUGAUUUUGCCUUAAUGAUGUGGAGCACAAGCAUUUCCCAAAAUAAUUGUUUUGGCAGCUAAUGGAAAAUCUAUUAAUAUAACUGUGAGAAUAAUUUUGGGGCUAGGAUUGUGAUCUUUUUCACUUAUGCCUAAUCAACCUUAAAAUUUACAUAGACUGAAAGAGUUAAAAUAUAAUGCUCUUUGAUGUUGCAACAUUUUGUAUGAAAAGGAAAUGGUGUUGAUUAUUGAAGAAAAUAGUUACCAAGAGUUUCUGAGAUUUUCAACAUGUAUGCUUACAUUUUAUAUAUUUUAAUUGAUCUUUUGUUUUAUUUCAUGUGGCAUUUUAUCAAAUUAUUGCAAAAAGUGAAUUUUGUUGUGACUAUUUGAAUGAUCCAAGGCAGCUGUUUGUCUGUUUUCAUUGGUGUAUUAUCAAACUCAUCAACCAGUAAAACAAGAUCUUAAAUUGUUCACCAUCUCAAAUCAAGAACCAAUGAUGAGGCAGCUUUUUUAUCUGGUAUUUUAUUGGUGCACAUCACUCAUUUUUGACCAAUGGCCAGGCAGCAUUUAUAUUGGGCAUUUAGUUGGUGCAUCAUUGAUCCAUGAUUGUGUUUAUUGAUGAAAAUGCAUUAAUGAUUAAUUUGUUUGAUAAAAUGAAAUACAUGUGUAUGUACAUAUUGAUAUAGAGCUACCCCUUUUUAUUUCCAUAUCCCAUUUUAAUUUUCCAGAUUCAAUAAAAAUUUAACUGUAUCUCAAUAUACAUUGUACAUUGUAUAAUGCAAGAUAGAACCAUAAACCAUGGGUGUUUCCUGUUUUCCUUUUGAUCAUUAAGUAGGGUUAAUGUAUAGCAACAAAAGUGCAUAUAUGACUUUAAAUCAUUGUCGUCAUCAGUGACAUAUGCUUUGUUGUAUUCAACUUUGCAAACUCCUUUUCCUUACUUAUAUAUUUCCAUUAUCCAUAUCCAUCUUUUAUUGUAUAUCAGCAGAAAAUUAUCGGUGCAACUCUUUAAUGUAUACAGUUAAUUGUAAGAUUUUCACUUAAAUAUAGAUCUUUAAUAUUUUAAAACAUCAUAUAAGGGGAAUUACUCAGAUAAUCUAAAAAAAAGUUUAAGGAAUGUUAAGUGUAUUUACCUAUUUUGUUUUGAAAGAGGAAAACAAGUAAGUCUUGUUUCCCAGAUUUUUAUUUAUGUAAUGUAAGUACAUUUUAAGGGCUACCUUCUCGUAAUUUACAAAAAAUCUAUUGUCUAGUUUUCUAUCUACCCCAGUAUCCACAUAAAAUUUAAGCUUGGAAAAAAGAAACAAUUCUGAAAAAAAAGUGUUCAUGUCGUGUUCAGGUUAAGGAUCAGUGAAUGGACUACAGUGUGUGUUGCAGUUUUGAGAAAAGUAAAACAAAAUAGGUAUUGACUACAUAUUGAUUAUUUUAUUAUUAUUCAGAUGAAGCAAUUCUACUGUACUGCAUAUUGAUAAUUUUAUUAUUAUCAUUCAAAUAAGGAAAUUCUACUGUAUUGCAUAUUGAUUAUGUUUUUUGAUUCUUUUUUAUAAUGAUUUUUAAUCAGAUAAUCAAGUGAUAAUUUUGUUAUUAUCAUUCAAAUAAGGAAAUUCUACUGUACUGCAUAUUGAUAAUUUUGUUAUUAUCAUUCAAAUAAGGAAAUUCUACUGUAUUGCAUAUUGAUAAUUUUGUUAUUAUCAUUCAAAUAAGGAA
rnacentral:lncRNA from 1 species